UACGUAGGGGCGAGCGUUGUCCGGAGUUACUGGCGUAAAGGGCACGCAGGCGGUGCGGCGCGUUUCGCGUGACAGCGGAGGGCUUAACUCUCCGAGGAUGCGAAAGACGGCGGCACUUGAGGGCCAGAGAGGGACACGGAAUUCCGGGUGGAGUGGUGAAAUGCGUAGAGAUCCGGAGGAACACCGAAGGCGAAGGCAAGUGUCCUGGCUGGUGACUGACGCUGAGGUGCGAAAGCGUGGGGAGCAAACAGG
rnacentral:rRNA from 1 species